UACGGAGGGUGCAAGCGUUGCUCGGAAUUAUUGGGCGUAAAGGGUAGGUAGGUGGUCUCAUUUGUCUGAGGUGAAAGCCUUGAGCUUAACUCAAGAAGUGCCUUAGAAACGGUGAGACUCGAGUUCUGGAGAGGGUCGUGGAAUUCCCGGUGUAGCGGUGAAAUGCGUAGAGAUCGGGAGGAACACCAGAGGCGAAGGCGGCGACCUGGACAGAUACUGACACUCAACUACGAAAGCGUGGGGAGCAAACAGG
rnacentral:rRNA from 1 species